UAAUAAUUAUAAGUAUUAAAAAUCUAUAAAAAUGCUUACUAUUGAUUAUUUUUGUAACUUUGAAAAAAAAAAAAAAUUCUUACAAGAAUAUUAUGAUUAGAGAGGACUUCAUAUCAUAGGUCACUAGUAUUGACUGUGUUUAAAAUUAUAAUUCAUUAAAAAUAUUUAUAAACACUAAAAACAAAUUAACGCGUGAUCCAAGUUUUGAAUAUGUCUCAUAUAACUAACAGAAAUUCGUCGAAUAAUAUCUUAACAUGAUAUUGUAAAAGAUACGUAAUAUAUUUAAGUUCAAACUUCAUUCAUGCGAAUGAAAUGUGUUUUAAAAUAAUACCAACAGUCAAUAAUAAAAAUUGCUUUGUGACGACAAUAGUGUAUUGGUUAUAUUCAAUUAUUUUUCGUCGUUUUCGGAACAUUACACACGCAUUUCAUUUCAGACAAGUACCAAGCAAUAUUAAAAUGUAUGCAAAAAUGUUUAUAAUACUACUCAUAGCCGAUCCACGUAUAUUGCAAUACUAAUCUUCAUCAAAUUUCGAUUUUAUAUACCUUUGAGUUACAGCUUAAGUGAUGUUUAAUAUGAAAGUCAUUUGAUGGGUCGAAAACCAGUUUUGAAAAACUGUCUAUACACUUUAUCUGUUUAAAUAUUUAAAAUGUGCACUUAAAACGGCGAGAUUCUUAUUAUGGUAAAAGAUAAUCAUAGUCAUAAAAAUUUAA